UUAUUCUUCUUUGUUGUAUACUAUGUCUGUAAUGGAUUCUUCCGUGUGUACGCGGCAAGUGUAUUCUCCAGUAAAGUGUGUAGGGUGGAACAGUGUCUUACAGAGGUCGACUCACAUGAUCAGCAGAGGGCCAACAACCCCCAUGACCACCUUCAAAGAGACAGCCCUCACUAAGAGUUAAAUACCUGGGACUCUAAAUCAGUUCUUUGUAUCUAAAGAGUUCCUUUGGAUGAGCGAUCCCUUCACAGUGUGCCGGCCUGUCCCACUGUCAUCCCGCUGAAGGAAACUCACCUGUCUCAAAACUUGUGGAAGCUGGAAUCAGACCAGACCCUGAACUAAAUCCUUUGAACAUUAUGUCAAUUUAAUCUCUGAUCUGAUUGCAAAUACUAAGCAGUUGUAAUGAGUCGCUUAUUAAAAAUGAGGUACUUUUCCUAGCAGCCUCCCGCCAUUCGGUCUUUUGACAUGAACCAUAACAUCGGCUUCAACGAUCUGGCGGACGAUGUCACAGUCGCCAUGCCCAUCUUUUCUUUUCAGUCUGUGGGAUGGACUAUAAUACUGGAGCGAUGUGGUUAAAAACUUAAAUUAAUGGGAGAUUGGUGGCAUUUGUUCAACAGUCUUUGUUGCUUCUAACUCUGAAAACUAUACAUCUAACGAUCCAGCACGAGGAUGAAAUAAAAUAUGAAAUAAUUUUCCAGAGAUUCGAUGAUUUAAAAAACAAAACAACCCAAAACAAUAACAAGUUUUAGCCAUUAAGUGUAAAAUCAGGGCAGAACUUAGUUAAAUUAUCUGAAGAUGAAAACAACAUGAAUGUUUUCAGUGUCACAGCAGGAGAUCAAACAUCAAGCGAUCUCCUGCUGUGACGCUGAAGAGAGCACACAAUAGCGCAUCGAUAAAUAUGUGAUUCAU